UCUGAGAUCUACAUUGCAUAUGAGAGACAGCAAAGAAUUAUUUAUGUCAGUAAUGAUGAAGAGGGUUUUAAUAAUGACCGUAGAUCACAGGGGAAAGGUGGUCUAGUGGCAAAGUAGUAAAUUAGGAGACAAGAAUUUCUGCUUUUUAAAUUUAGUAUGUAGUUUAAUUUGCACAGUUUUUUAAGAAACAGAAAAAGAAAAGAUUAAAUUCUCAUUUUUAUACUCCUCAUUUCUGCAAGAAAUUCCCAGUGAUAUGAAAUUCUUUAGACAACUACUUAUUAAAAAUCAUAAUAAUCUGCUGGGGAUGUCAUAAGCCCUUUAUAUUCCCAAGAUAAAAGAAAAGCAGUGUCCAGCACUUUUGCCCCAGGCACUGCUAAACAAGACUGUUAGCUUUUGAUAAACAUGAAUGACUAAAUUCAUAUCACUGCAGGGAGAGAAAUAUAAGAAGAUGCACUUUCUACCUUCCUCUCACUGAAAGACUCCAGAGCUACUGGUUUGACUGACUUUCUUCAAUCAUGAAGAUUCCUGUCUCUCUCUUUCUUUUAUUUUUCUUUCUGGCCCCACUGUCACCAGUGAAAUGCGCCAUGAAAGACACCUACAGUUGCUUUGUCAAGAAAGGCAAAUGUAGACCUCUGAAGUCUGAACCCAAGCACAUUACUGUAAGGCUGGAAAAAGCCACAGCCACCACUGGAGACCAUCACUUACCUGCAGAACUGGCCAUCUUGCUGUGGAACCAGACACCUGUUGUCGUGUACAUUCUCAGCAUCAUUUAUGAAUAAACUAUGUCAUGAGUGAACCUCUGCUAUCCCUGCGCAUAUCUGUUGAUGACUUAAGUAUUGAUACGUUCAUUUUCUUUCCCAAAUGGUGGAAGGUAGUGAUUAAGAAGCUAGUGGUUUCUCUAGAAGUAAGAAAUUUAGGUGAAUCAGGAGGGUGGGUAAGAGAACAUCACAGUGAUGAAGUCUUCGUGUUUUGAAGUUAGACUGCCCGGAUUUGAGCCUCAGCUUCACUAUGUUCUUUGCUAUAUUAUUUGAACAAAUAUCAUUACCAGCUCUCUAAGUCUCAAUCGCUUAUCUAUAAAAUGACAAUAAUAAUAGCACUCACGGAAUAAGCUUGAUAUGAGGGUUAAAUAAGAUAAUCCAAGUAAAACUCACAUGCAGUAUCUGGUGUAUGAUGAACAUGUAAUCAUAAUGCUAAAAAUAAUCAUUAUUUUAAUCAUAUUAAUAAUGCUAUAGUUGUUUAUUAUCCCAAACCUGCUCUUUCAUAAAUGGCAUAUAUGUAUACAGAGAUCACAUUGUAAUCAUCAGAAACCAACUAGGUGUAAAAAGAUGAGAGUGAAAUAUCUUCAAAUGUGGGUGGAUUUGAGAAGUCUCAAGAAAGAAUUCCUGAGGCAAGGAGAUAGCUCUGGGAUAAUUCAAGAUUUCAGUUUCUGCUUUGUUUCUUGUCUGUGCCAUGGGUAAGGAGGGAAGCUAGGACUGGUACAAACUGUUCAUAUAACCCAGAAGCAUUAGAAAACUUGACAGAGUAAUAAAAAUUUAUGGGUUCUAUAGCUAGACCAGGAUAACUUAGUGAUAACGCUCAAAGACACACAACUUAAAGUUUUACUACAAGGUACCAGGUAUUUCCAAAGUCCUCAUUUAUCUGUCUCUUCUUGGAGAGUGAAGAAAGAACAGCAAGCCAAAAAGAUGAACUAUAAUAGCUGUGUUUAUAUUUUCAAAACUCUAAUUCAAAAUACCUUUGCAAAGCUAAAG
rnacentral:lncRNA from 1 species